rnacentral:rRNA from 1 species
CAAUAGCGUAUAUUAAAGUUGUUGCAGUUAAAAAGCUCGUAGUCGGAUUUCUGGUGGGAGCGAUCGGUCUGGCGCUUAGCGCGAGUACUUGCAUCGUCUCCGGCCAUCCUUGGGGAGAGUCUGUCUGGCAUUAGGUUGUCGGGCAGAGGAUCCUCAUCGUUUACUGUGAAAAAAUUAGAGUGUUCAAAGCAGGCUUAUGCCGUUGAAUAUAUUAGCAUGGAAUAAUAAGAUAGGACUUUGGUACUAUUUUGUUGGUUUGCGCACCAAAGUAAUGAUUAAUAGGGACAGUUGGGGGUAUUCGUAUUCCGUUGUCAGAGGUGAAAUUCUUGGAUUUACGGAAGACGAACUACUGCGAAAGCAUUUACCAAGGAUGUUCUCAUUAA